CGAGCACUCGUUUGUCCAGCUGAGGAAUAACUCUCGUUUUUCCUCAGCGACAGGGCCAUCUGAAGCAGAUGGCGAGGAGUGGAAAAAAGGUGACCCUGAUAACUCACGCGAGGGAGAGAUGAGUAAAGAGAAUGUGGGGAAUUUUCAAAUGCCACGAUAAAUCGAUACAAGUGAGGUUUUGAAGAAUUUUCAUCUCGUCUCGGUUGUACCUCUUGGGGACUGGUAAUUUACAUGAUAAUGGCUGUGGCCAGCGGUGUGGUUUAUGCGGAGUGUCCCCUCGAGGCUGUGAUCCAAGUCAACAGCUGACGUAUUAUGAAUUAUAGAGUCAAGUAUCAAGCACUUUACUUGAA